UACGUAGGGUGCGAGCGUUAAUCGGAAUUACUGGGCGUAAAGCGUGCGCAGGCGGUUUUGUAAGCCAGAUGUGAAAGCCCCGGGCUUAACCUGGGGAAUGGCAUUUGGGGACUGCAAGGCUUGAGUGCGGCAGAGGAGACUGGAAUUCCUGGUGUAGCAGUGAAAUGCGUAGAUAUCAGGAGGAAUACCGAUGGCGAAGGCAGGUCUCUGGGCUGACACUGACGCUCAUGCACGAAGCGUGGG
rnacentral:rRNA from 1 species